AAAAUAAACACUUCCGCUCCCAGAUGUUUGUUGAUACAGUCUAUGAGUUCAUAUAUAGUUUUUUUGGCUAGAAAGAAAUUGUCAUGCCUUGGACACCGGCCCAGCGCAGCCGUCUUGCGACUGAGAAGGGAAUUUUAGAGCAUUUCUUUCCAGGCCGAGUGACGUGGAUAGAACCAACAGGCGACACGAAAAUCGAAGUCUCGCUCAACACCAACAAUGGCAACAAAUACUGCCUCAGAAUCUAUCUGAAAUCCGAUGGAGAGAACAGUUCUGACUUCCCAAAUUCUGUUCCAGACAUGGUGAGGAUGCAGAAUUUAACAAUUCUAUACUGUAGUUUAUUGGAUUUUAUUGGAUUUCAGUUGAGCAUUGCAAUGCAGCAGAUAUUUCCCCAUUGGCAUUGACACGUUGUGACAACUCACAUGCUAGUAUUUUUCAGGUUGUUGGAUGUCUCGCAAUCCGGAAUUCUCUUACAUGCAAGGCAUAGGCUAUUCACUACUGUAAAUAAACACAAUCAAUAUUUUCACAAAACGCUGAGCAUUAUUAUACAAAAUAGCAAUAUAGGUACCCUGGGUGGUCUUCUAUCCUAGUUUAUAUAGGAAAUUCUCUGAAGCGUACAAUAUUAUAUAGGUUCAAUGUAAAUUAUGUUUGUCAAGUGCGGUGUGUCUCUUGUAAUCAGGAUAAUUCAAGGAGAGAUCCAAGGAGACAGUCUCGGUACAUCAUUGUUAUAUCGUUGAGCUGAUGACCCUCAUUCUACUCUGUCAACACUUUCUUUACACAAUAAGUAAAAUACGGCUUCUAAGCUAUGAUAUAUGAAAGAAAUCGAUGAUAAUUGUCGGCAAAGUACGUAGAUCUCUGGGCCAUGCUCACACUAAAAGUCAUACAUGAUUCUACGUCUGAACAGAUAUGCAUCAACUGUAAUUUUUUGAUACUGUAUAUAGGUAGUACGCUCGUCUCCGAAGCCAAUGCCUCGCUGGGAUGUUGAUCCUAAUAAACAUACACUGGGUUACCGUGAUGAUUUUUUGAAGAUUUGUCACUAUCGUUCAACUCGUUGGACGGACCGCUCCACGCUUUACGAGGUCGUGAUGAAAGGAAGAUUUUGGUUGGAAGCGUACGAAGGAUAUUUGAUGACAGGCAAAUGUCUGAGCACAUUUCUGGGCGAGAUGCGAGAAUGACUCAUAUAUCUUGGUUCAUACAGCGAAAUAUCGAUUGAAGUGUUCUCAAUUUUUUCUGGGAAGACUAGACUCUAUGGGCACUUUCCAUUUAAUGGCCUGACCGGU